GAAAGUGACACUGAGUGACAAAGUAACACUACAUAAUCAGAUCUUCUGUGUAUAAAGUCUAAACAUUUAUGAUUUCAAUUUUUUAUUCAAGCAAUAGCAUAUGGACAGUCAUCCUCUACAAUGAAAAGGCCACUUUGUUUUUUGCUGGUCCUGGAGCUUUCAGCAUAACAUAUGGACAUCAUUCCUCUACAAUGAAAAGGCUGCUUUGUCUUUUGCUGGUCUUGGAACUUUUGGCACAUUUGUGCCAGGCAGUGACGGUCACUCAGAAUGUACCCAUAAUUGUCACCAAAGCUGGAAAAAAGGUGGAAAUUCCUUGUGAACACGACGAUAAAACUGGUUCUUACAACAUGUACUGGUAUCAACAGAAGCCAGGUGAGGGGAUGAAGCUUAUGGCUCUAUCAAUUGCGUCAUCUCCCCCCACUAUGGAGGAUGAAUUUAAGGGAAAAUGGAAUAUGUCCCGGCCAGAUAUCAUAAACUUCUUUCUGAUAAAGGAGAAAGCAACAUCUGAAGAUAUGGCUGUGUAUUUCUGUGCUUCCAGUCUGCACAGCCACAAAUAACAGAGAAGGAGCCAACAUAAAACCAACAACUCGCUUCACUAGGAGUGUCAACUUUUCUAAGCCACCUGCUGGGGAAACUAGUGUGUUCCUAAAAAUGCAAUCAAACUUUAAUUUAAAAUAAAGUUUCUACAAUCAAUUUCUGGCACCAAGAUCUUGAGGCUACAUAAUUUUUUGUUUGGGUCUUGAUUGGUGUUGGUCCAGUCAUUCCAGGUACAGGGCAAAGGUGAGUAAGGAGCACAGGUUUCGUGUUGAGAGGGAGGGAAGGUUUCAAAGGUUUAAUUUAUGAAACAGGUUAAGUGUGAUGCCGCGUACACACGACCGUUUUUCAUGUCCUAGAAAAAACAAAGAGGUAGAUUUAGGUAGCUCAGCGCUUCUUUUGGCCGGCGUAGCGCAUCUC